rnacentral:rRNA from 1 species
CUACGGGACGCAGCAGUGGGGAAUCUUGCGCAAUGGGGGAAACCCUGACGCAGCGACGCCGCGUGAGCGAUGAAGGCCCUCGGGUUGUAAAGCUCUGCUUAUAAAGAACAAGGGACUCUGGUGAACACCCAGAGUUUUUGAGUGUAUUUAUAAAGAAAGCACCGGCUAACUCUGUGCCAGCAGCCGCGGUAAUACAGAGGGUGCAAGCGUUGUUCGGAAUUAUUGGGCGUAAAGUGCAUCAAGGUGGCAUGAUUAGUCAGGUGUGAAAUCCCACGGCUUAACCGUGGAACUGCGCUUGAAACGGUCAUGCUUGAGUAUGGUAGAGGAAAACGGAAUUCCAGGUGUAGAGGUAAAAUUCGUAGAUAUCUGGAGGAACACCAGAAGCGAAGGCGGUUUUCUGGGCCAUUACUGACGCUGAAGUGCGAAAGCGUGGGGAGCAAACAGGAUUAGAUACCCCUGUAGUC